GUGCUUGCUUCGGCAGCACAUACCCUAAAAUUAGAAUGAUACAGAGAAGAUUAGCAUGGCCCCUGCACGCAAAUUCAUGAAGCAUUCCAAAUUUUU
rnacentral:snRNA from 1 species